rnacentral:rRNA from 1 species
AUUGAACGCUGGCGGCAUGCCUUACACAUGCAAGUCGAACGGUAACAGGUUAAGCUGACGAGUGGCGAACGGGUGAGUAAUAUAUCGGAACGUGCCCAGUCGUGGGGGAUAACGUAGCGAAAGCUACGCUAAUACCGCAUACGAUCUACGGAUGAAAGCGGGGGAUCGCAAGACCUCGCGCGAGUGGAGCGGCAGAUAUCAGAUUAGGUUGUUGGUGAGGUAAAAGCUCACCAAGCCUGCGAUCUGUAGCUGGUCUGAGAGGACGACCAGCCACACUGGAACUGAGACACGGUCCAGACUCCUACGGGAGGCAGCAGUGGGGAAUUUUGGACAAUGGACGCAAGUCUGAUCCAGCAAUGCCGCGUGCAGGACGAAGGCCUUCGGGUUGUAAACUGCUUUUGUACGGAACGAAACGGUGAGCUCUAAUACAGUUUGCUAAUGACGGUACCGUAAGAAUAAGCACCGGCUAACUACGUGCCAGCAGCCGCCGUAA